UGUCUGUUGCGGGCUUGCGUCAGUCUCGCCCUAUUGUCACACACCAACGCCCUAUUGCGUCAGUCUCGCCCUAUUGCCCUGGAUAUGCAGAGCAAGGAAGAAGAGGAGGAGGAGGCUGAGAAGGGAUGCUCCGCUAGAGAUGCUCAGCAACAAGGCAAAGGAAGGAAGACCAACAACAACAACAACAACAACAGGAGGAAGUUGUUGGAAGUGCAGCAAGCCAUUUUGGCCAACAUGUCUCAAGCUCAUCAAGAUUUCAGGGACGAGCUGGUUGGAUCCGGAGAUCGUGUUCAAAUUGGCAUGUGAGGAACAAAUGCUUUGGCAAUGUGGUUUGAUUUAUGGAACACCUUUGAUUCAAAGGGAGAUCAACUCAUCACUUCCGAAGGGAUAUUGGAAAGGGAUUCCUCUUUCUUCCCCAGAAACUUGAAUGCACAGCAUAUAGAUGAUGUCCAUCGCAAGACAAACAUAUUGAAGUAUACUAAUCUCAAGUGGUAUGGUUCAACAAUGGCAAUAAGCCAUAACAUUUCAUUGGAUGGGUCUUUUUAGGCUUAUGGAAGAUAAUAUUUUUAUUUGUAGAAGUUAUUAAAUAAGGUAAGUCAAUUGAAAUUAAUACUGCAAGGAGAAAUAGAAGAAGACAAAAGAAACUUUAUUUGUAAAUAAUAAAAUGAGUUUACAAGUUCUUUUUAUCAACUGUUUGUGUAGUAGUUUGUAGAACACUUUUAAAACCUUUCUUCCUAGUGAAAUAUCAUUUUCUAGAAUGUUGUUAACCUCAUCUUAACUAUCAAUCAAGAUCCAAAAAUGAGGAGCAUUUCUUCCUAAAAACACAUUACAAUUUACCACACUGUGUUAUAAUAGGCUUUUGUUCACAACAGGCCAGUCCAGUCAUUGCAGAUAAUAUUUUGAUCUGUGGAUCUCAAACAAUAUAAAAAGAGUGGUAACAAUGAAUAUGUUGCCAUCAACAGUAGGAUUUCAACAAAAUCGAAUCCAUAACAGGAAAAGGUAAAAUAAAAUAUCUCGAAAUCCAGAAUGGUCCUCCAACAUAAUAAAUGACAAGAAAGUCACCAUAAUACUCAAAUGACAAACUGAGCUCAUCAGAAACCAAUAUAC